AUGCCCGAAGGGUGACGAAGCGACGCCGCGUGGGUGAGGAAGGCCCUCGGGUUGUAAAGCCCUGUCAGGAGUUAAGAAAUGUAGGUGUGCUAAUAUCACGCCUAUUUGACGAAGGCUCCAAAGGAAGCCACGGCUAACUCUGUGCCAGCAGCCGCGGUAAUACAGAGGUGGCAAGCGUUGUUCGGAAUUAUUGGGCGUAAAGAGCACGUAGGUGGGUUUGUAAGUCAGAUGUGAAAGCCUCCUGUUCAACGGGAGAAUUGCAUCUGAAACUACUGAUCUUGAGUGUAGGAGGGGAGAAUGGAACUUCUGGUGGAGCGGUGAAAUGCGUAGAUAUCAGAAGGAACGCCGGCGGCGAAAGCGAUUCUCUGGCCUAUUACUGACACUCAGUGUGCGAAAGCUAGGGGAGCAAACGGGAUUAGAUACCCCGGUAGUCCUAGCCGUAAACGAUGGGCACUAAGUAGAGGGGU
rnacentral:rRNA from 1 species